rnacentral:rRNA from 1 species
GACGAACGCUGGCGGCGUGCUUAACACAUGCAAGUCGAACGGUAAGGCCCUUCGGGGUACACGAGUGGCGAACGGGUGAGUAACACGUGGGUGAUCUGCCCUGCACUUCGGGAUAAGCCUGGGAAACUGGGUCUAAUACCGGAUAGGACCACUGCCUGCAUGGGUGGUGGUGGAAAGCUUUUGCGGUGUGGGAUGGGCCCGCGGCCUAUCAGCUUGUUGGUGGGGUGAUGGCCUACCAAGGCGACGACGGGUAGCCGGCCUGAGAGGGUGACCGGCCACACUGGAGCUUAGUUACGGCCAAGACUCCUCCGGGAGGCAGCAGUGGGGAAUAUUGCACAAGGGGCGCAAGCCUGAUGCAGCGACGCCGCGUGAGGGAUGACGGCCUUCGGGUUGAAAUCCUCUUUCAGCGCCGACGAGGCGCAAGUGACGGUGGGUGCAGAAGAAGGACCGGCCAACUACGUGCCAGCCGCCGCGGUAA